rnacentral:rRNA from 1 species
GAUUAACGCUAGCGGCAGGCAUAAUACAUGCAAGUUGAACGGGAUAAGUUGUAGCAAUACGACUUUGAGAGUAGCGCACGGGUGCGUAACACGUAUGCAAUCUGCCCCUAUCUGUGGAAUAGCCCCUCGAAAGAGGGAUUAAUACCACAUAAAAUGGUGAAUAGGCAUCUAUUUACUAUCAAAGCUCCGGCGGAUAGGGAUGAGCAUGCGGCUGAUUAGGUAGUUGGUGAGGUAAUGGCUCACCAAGCCAACGAUCAGUAGGGGGUCUGAGAGGAUGUCCCCCCACACUGGUACUGGGACACGGACCAGACUCCUACGGAAGGCAGCAGUAGGGAAUGUUGAUCAAUGGGGGAAACCCUGAACCAGCCAUGCCGCGUGCAGGAUUAAGGCCCUAUGGGUCGUAAACUGCUUUUGUACGGGAAGAAAUCACAUUACGUGUAAUGUGUUGACGGUACCGUGAGAAUAAGGAUCGGCUAACUUCGUGCCAGCAGCCGCAGUAACAC